GGUGUUGUAAUGGGUUAGUGGUAUCGCGUCAGGUUCCCAACCUGAAGGUCGCGGUUCGAUCCCCGCUGAUGCCG
rnacentral:tRNA from 1 species